GGGGCUUCUGCUGCUGCUGCUGCUGCUGCUGCUGGUGGUGGUGGCGGACGAGGAAGAGCUCUGGAGGGCCAUGAGGUACUGCGUUUCUGGGACUGCUGCUGGCUUUGAAGGAGGACAUAUGUAGUAGAGGGUCUGGCCGUGCAGGGUUGCCAGGGUUAUGUCCUGAGCCAUGUCCAGAGUUGGGUAAGCAGGUAGGAUGUAUUUCAACAUGCUGGGUAUCAUGACAGGUCCGAUGAAGAAUAUCGGUGGGUUAUUUUGGAGGCUCUGGGAGAGCUCUUUUGGAGUGAAAUUGUUGGUUGGGACGCGGAGGUAGGAGGCGAGAUACGGGGUGGUGUGUGGUGGGGAUAUCGGGCAUAGGCGAUCAGGGAUAUCGUGGUCCGCAGUGGCAUCAUCCUUCUUUUCUUUCUCCAGAAGUGCCAUGGGUUUCUUGUGAGAAGCUGAUUCAUAAAAGAGAAACGACAGUUGAAUAUAGGAAGUUCACUUCAACUUCCCUCUAAAAGUAUUUCGCGGGUUGGUAGCAUGUUUAUAUACAAAUACAUAUAUAUACCUGAGCAAAUAGAGAAAAGUAAUGCGUGUGAAGGAAGCAAUAAGAAAAGAAAUUAUAGAGAA
rnacentral:sRNA from 2 species